rnacentral:rRNA from 1 species
AUUGAACGCUGGCGGCAGGCCUAACACAUGCAAGUCGAGCGAGCGGCGGACGGGUGAGUAAUGUAUGGGGAUCUGCCUGAUGGAGGGGGAUAACUACUGGAAACGGUAGCUAAUACCGCAUACCAUCAGAUGAACCCAUAUGGGAUUAGCUGGUAGGUAAGGUAACGGCUUACCUAGGCGACGAUCCCUAGCUGGUCUGAGAGGAUGAUCAGGCACACUGGGACUGAGACACGGCCGAGACGACGACGGGAGGCAGCAGUGGGGAAUAUUGCACAAUGGGCGAAAGCAUGAUGGAGCCAUGCCGCGUGUAUGAAGAAGGCCUUAGGGUUGUAAAGUACUUUCAGUCGUGAGGCGUUACCCGCAGAAGAAGCACCGGCUAACUCCGUGCCAGCAGCCGCGGUAAUAC